rnacentral:rRNA from 1 species
UACGUAGGGUCCGAGCGUUGUCCGGAGUUACUGGGCGUAAAGCGCGCGCAGGCGGGUCUCCAAGCCCGGCGUGAAAGCCCCCGGCUCAACCGGGGAGGGUCGUCGGGGACUGGGGAGCUUGAGGACGGCAGGGGUCGGUGGAAUUCCCGGUGUAGUGGUGAAAUGCGUAGAGAUCGGGAGGAACACCCGUGGCGAAGGCGGCCGACUGGGCCGGACCUGACGCUGAGGCGCGAAGGCGUGGGGAGCGAACGGG